rnacentral:lncRNA from 1 species
UUCAUAUGCAUUGAUGGAUUUCGUAAAUACAGAUAGUUUACUGGAAUUCUGUACAGUCAGCUUCAAUCUUCUGAAAAAAAAUAGAUUGUUCUUACUACCCUUUUGGAUGAGUGUGGGAGGUGGUUUUUCAGAAUAAUUUUGGGGAUCGUUAAUGUGGUUUUCAAGAUGCCUUGGAGAGAGCGCAAGGUCAGUUUCCUGUAAGGAGUCGUCGGAGACGACACUGUCAGGGCUGUCGGCGGGAUAUCCGG